rnacentral:rRNA from 1 species
GAGGGGUGUAAGCGUUAUUCGGAAUUACUGGGCGUAAAGGGUGCGUAGACGGUAUAUUAAGUCUGUUGUUAAAUUUUCCGGCUUAACCGGAAAGCUGCGGUAGAAACUGAUAUACUAGAGAAUGAGAGAGAGAAGUGGAAUUCCCGGAGUAGCGGUAAAAUGCGUGGAUCUCGGGAGGAACACCAAUGGCGAAGGCAGCUUCUUGGCUCAUUUUCUGACGUUGAGGCACGAAAGCGUGGGGAGCAAACAGGAUUAGAUACCCUGGGUAGUCCACGCCGUAAACGAUAAUCACUAGACGUUGGCCCUGGCUUAGCUGGGUUAGUGUCGUAGCUAACGCGUUAAGUGAUUCGCCUGGGGACUACGAUCGCAAGAUUA